CAGCAGCCGCGGUAAUACCAGCGCCACAAGUGGCAAUCGCUUUUAUUGGGCCUAAAGCGUCCGUAGCUGGUUUUGUAAGUCUUUUGUGAAAUCGUCAAGCUUAACUUGACGGCGUGCUUAAGAUACUGCAAGACUUGGAACCGGGAGGAGUUAGAGGUAUUCUGAGGGGAGCGGUAAAAUGCUAUAAUCCUCAGAGGACCACCUGUGGCGAAGGCGUCUAACUAGAACGGAUUCGACAGUGAGGGACGAAAGCCAGGGGAGCGAUCCGGAUUAGAUACCCGAGUAGUCCUGGCCGUAAACGCUGCGAGCUAGGCGUUGCGAAUUCCACGUGAAUUCGCAGUGUCGAAGCGAAGGUGAUAAGCUCGCCGCCUGGGAAGUAUGGUCGCAAGGCUGAAACUUAAAGGAAUUGGCGGGGGAGCGCUACAAGGGGUGGAAUGUGCGGUUUAAUCUAAUUCAACGCAGAGAAUCUCACCAGAUGCGACGGCAGAAUGAAAGUCAGGCUGAAGGUCUUACUUAACAAGCCGAGAGGUAGUGCAUGGCCGCCGUCAGCUCGUGCCGUAAGGUGUCCUGUUAAGUCAGGCAACGAGCGAGACCUGUACCUAUAAUUGCUAGCUGACUCUUGGAGUGACAGAGCACAUUAUGGGAACUGCCCUGGAAACAGGGAGGAAGGUGCAGGCUACGGUAGGUCUGUAUGCUCCGAAUCUUCUGGGCGACACGCGCAUUACAAUGGUAGGAACAAUGGGAUACAACUCCGAAAGGAGAAGUUAAUCCUCGAAAUCCUAUCUCAGUUCGGAUUGAGGACUGUAACUCGUCCUCAUGAAGCCGGAAUCCCUAGUAAUCGGACUUCAACAUAGUCCGGUGAAUAAGUCCCCGCUCCUUGCACACACUGCCCGUCAAACCACUCGAGCCGGGUUUAGAUGAGUUCCAACUUUUUGGUUGGCCCGAAUUCUAAGCUUAGUGAGAUGGGUUAAGUCGUAACAAGGUAGCCGUA
rnacentral:rRNA from 1 species